CAUGAUAUCCUCGUUCAUAUGGUUCAAUUUGUUUCUGCUGUAUGCCAACACAAUUAAACUAACUUGUUCAUAUUUUUUUAUCUGUUCCAGGUAUGUAUUCAGAUUCAGAUAGGCGACACUAACAUUCCUCGAACAUUCAAAAAUAAAACAGAAAACGGUGAAAACCCCUUGGUGAGUUGCUCAUUUAGUCUUGUAGAGCGUCAGUCUUUUCUGCAUGUAGGUUUCGUUUAGGUUUGUUACCGUUCCACAAUCACAACUAAAGGAUACUCUUUGACGCUAUGAUCCGGACAGUCAAAUAAUAAUGGAGUAUAUAUACCUGCUACUUCUCUGUUGGUUGCGUCUGGUCUCUGCCGACCGGAGAGCCGAGAAUUAGAAGAGGAGCAGAAUGAUGAGGAAGGAGAAGGUGGCGAAGGUGGGGAAGAGCCGAACGACCAGGGAGCGCCCGAUUCCAGGCGGCCGCCGAUCCUCAAAACCCAGCCUACGACCAUAACCGUGGAAAAGGGCCAGACGGCAAUUUUACCAUGUGAAUUUCAAGAUUUGGGUAAGUAAUCCUCUCUACUCUAAUAA
rnacentral:lncRNA from 1 species